GAAAGACCAUGUCUCCUUCGUGUUUGAAGAUGACAAUGUCACCGAUUCGAAGAUCAUGUGCUUCGGUGAACUCUUUCCAACCUUUGAAGUCAAGUGGUAUUGCCACGCCACUGUGAAAACCAGGAAGAAGAGGCUUGAAGAAAUGAGGUUCUCGGGGAGUUUCCAUCUGCAACAAUCGAGUUCCAAUUACAUGUAAGAAACAAAGAAGAUGAGAAAGACAUGUUCCAAUCGUAUGGCCAAGGUAACAACGACUCUAUUCCGACUAGAAAUCUAACCAAGAACCAACGAGUUUACGCUUUGGUCAUUACUACGAGCCACUACUUAGUUACUAACUGAAGUGAAUAUAACCUCUAAACCCCUCUAUCGAUUUGAAAUUUCACAGAAACUAACCCUAAUGAAACGAGCAUGCCGAUUUACAUCAAUUAAUCGAAAACCCUCUAUCGAUUUUGAAACCCUCAAACAAAAAAUCCCCAAAUCGAUUUAAAACCGAAACACAAAAAGAUGGAGAGGAGGUGGAGAAUUCUACCGUUCAACUCAAUACUCACCUAAGAGGUGGAGAAGAGAAACCAGAGUGGAUUUGCUGGAGAAUACCGCCGGAGAUGGAGGUCGCACAGAGAAUCGCCUCAGAGA